rnacentral:rRNA from 1 species
CCUACGGGAGGCAGCAGUGGGGAAUAUUGCGCAAUGGGCGAAAGCCUGACGCAGCGACGCCGCGUGAGGGAUGAAGGUCUUCGGAUCGUAAACCUCUGUCAGCAGGGAAGAACGGUCACUGUGCUAAUCAGCAGUGAAUUGACGGUACCUGCAAAGGAAGCACCGGCUAACUCCGUGCCAGCAGCCGCGGUAAUACGGAGGGUGCGAGCGUUAAUCGGAAUUACUGGGCGUAAAGCGCUCGUAGGCGGUAUGUCAAGUCAAGGGUGAAAUCCCCGCGCUCAACGUGGGAACUGCCUUUGAAACUGACAAACUGGAGUGUGUGAGAGGAUAGUGGAAUUCCAGGUGUAGGAGUGGAAUCCGUAGAUAUCUGGAGGAACAUCAGUGGCGAAGGCGACUAUCUGGCACAUAACUGACGCUGAGGAGCGAAAGCGUGGGGAGCAAACAGGAUUAGAUACCCCAGUAGUC